GCCGAAAUUCGCUCCGACCGUCCGCUGGAAGGGCCGGGGUAAACCCUAGGUUCCCUCUUCAAAGGAGAAAAGCUUCACAUUCUCUUGUCCUGUUAUUCCGAUGCCAUUGAAGCAAUCUCGUCUUCUCGCAAGUUCUUGCGGCAUCAACGAGGCUUCUUGACAGUGGAGGAGAUGGCGGCAUCGUUCCGAUCUCCAGGCGGCGCCACGAGGUCCGUUUCCGGUGAGGGAGAGCUUGAUUCGCUCCGCCUGUUGUUGCGAGAGGGGAGAUUGCCGAAGGAGCGUCCAAUGUUGCCUUUGUUUAUCCGGGUUCAAGAAGAAAAAUGGAGAAAAAGAAGAAAAAAAGGAUGGCUUUCUCAAAAAUGAAACAAGGUGAGUCUCGUGCUCCGUAAUUGACUCGGAUGACGUCAAGCGACGGAGGUAAGCUCACACACGGUGAUGGGACCUCAACUCAUCCCAAACGUUUGGCUGAGAUUGCCGCGCAAAGUAUAACAGCACCAGUAUAUAGAAGACGGAGCUUUGUGAGAGGCUGUAGGGAAGGGUCAGCAACAAAAAUGGCUGCCUUUUCUCUCAACUCCUUGCCUGUACCUCCUUCUAAACACCAGAAGGCAGCUGAUUGUUCUCAUGUCAAUGGAGUCCUUAAACCGAUUGUGGUCACUGGCAAUCCUCCAACAUUUGUCUCUGCCCCUGGUCGCCGAAUUGUUGCUGUUGGUGAUCUACAUGGGGACCUUGCUCAAACAAGAUGUGCGCUUGAAUUGGCUGGUGUUUUGAGCCCAGAUGGUCAAGAUUUGUGGAUUGGUGGAGAGACAAUAUUGGUUCAACUUGGAGAUAUCCUUGAUCGAGGUGAAGACGAAAUAGCUAUCCUAUCUUUACUACGAUCACUAAAUAUUCAGGCAAAAUCUGAUGGUGGUGCAGUCUUUCAGGUGAAUGGAAAUCAUGAAACCAUGAAUGUUGAGGGCGAUUUUAGAUAUGUUGACCAUGGGGCAUUUGAUGAGUGCAUAGACUUCCUAGAAUACUUGAAUGAACACGAAGGCAACUGGAAAGAUGCUUUUGUUGGGUGGAUCAAUGUUUGUGAAAGGUGGAAAGAGAAUCGCAGAAUGUCCCAAAAUUAUUGGAACCCUUGGAAUCUUAUGAAGAGGCAGAAGGGGAUUAUCGCUAGAUCAACACUUUUAAGACCAGGGGGUCCUUUGGCUUGUGAACUAGCUCAACAUGCAGUUGUCCUUAAGGUUGAUGAUUGGAUUUUUUGUCAUGGUGGCCUUCUUCCUCAUCAUGUUGCAUAUGGUAUAGAGAGGAUGAACAAAGAAGUAUCUCAUUGGAUGCAAGGGUUCAGUGAAGAUGAUGAUUAUAGUCCUGAAAUUCCUUUUAUAGCUACCAGAGGUUAUGAUAGUGUUGUUUGGAAUCGCUUAUAUUCAAGAGAUUCUGCAGACAGAAAAUACCAAUCUUGGCAGAUUUCCUCCAUUGUGGAAGAGGCAUUACAAGCUGUAGGAGCUAAGGGGAUGGUGGUCGGUCAUACUCCACAGUUUAACGGUGUUAAUUGUAGAUAUAAUCAGAGAAUAUGGUGUAUUGAUGUUGGCAUGUCAAGUGGAGUCCUUAAUUCAAGACCAGAGGUUCUAGAAAUUAAAGAUAAUAAAGCAAGGGUGUUGAGGAACCAAAGUUACUUGUUCGAUGAACUUGAAGUCAUGGAUUAUCUAUGAGAACAUGCACUAUGGCAGAAGAACUGGGAGCCAUGGUCGUAAACUAGGAGGACCAGGAGGGGAAGGUGGAACUGCUAAAAUAGUCAAGUUGCACCGGCAACAGUGGGUGAAGUCUUCCUCUUAAGCAACGUCGAGGCUAUAGAAAACAGAAAGAAGGAGAAAACACAGCUAUCUUAGAAAUGCACAGCCAUAGAACUCAGCUGAGAGCAGAUCGAGAUGCCAGUUCAUGUGGAUGACAAGUGCAUGACUGCAUGCUAAUAUCUUGGUAUUUUCUUAUCAUAAAUAUGUAUGCCUAUUUCUUUAACGCAAAGAUUGAGAUUUUGUUGUUUAAUAAAAGUUUGGGAUGUUGAAUGGGUUAAAGAGGUAGAAAAUGGCAAAAUUCAUCAGAUAGAAUACUAUAAAUAAUAAUUUCUGAGGUGAAUUUUGUUUCUGGAUCUAUAUAACAUGACUACUAAUGAAGUGGAUUUUUGGUGUAAUUAAUGAAAUUUUAAGCCUAUAUGCAAAAGAUGAAUGCUGAUACUUUUUUUU